rnacentral:rRNA from 1 species
UCUGGUUCAGGAUGAACGCUAGCGGCAGGCUUAACACAUGCAAGUCGAGGGGCAGCGCGAGGUAGCAAUACUUGGCGGCGACCGGCGGAAGGGUGCGUAACGCGUGAGCAACAUGCCCGUAUGAGGGGGAUAGUCAUUGGAAACGAUGCGUAAUACCCCGUAACAACAGAGGCGGCAUCGCCUUUGUUUGAAAGAUUUAUCGCAUACGGAUUGGCUCGCGUGACAUUAGCUAGUUGGCGGGGUAACGGCCCACCAAGGCGACGAUGUCUAGGGGAACUGAGAGGUUGGUCCCCCACACUGGAACUGAGACACGGUCCAGACUCCUACGGGAGGCAGCAGUGAGGAAUAUUGGUCAAUGGGCGGAAGCCUGAACCAGCCAUGCCGCGUGAAGGGAACCUAAGGCCCUAUGGGUCGUAAACUUCUUUUGACGGGGGAGCAAUAAGGGCGUCGUGCACGUCCGAUGAGAGUACUCGUCGAAUAAGCAUCGGCUAACUCCGUGCCAGCCGCUGC